UACGGAGGGGGCUAGCGUUGUUCGGAAUUACUGGGCGUAAAGCGCGCGUAGGCGGACCUGCAAGUCGGGGGUGAAAUCCCAGGGCCCAACCCUGGAACUGCCUUCGAUACUGUCUUGCUGGAGUGUGGAAGAGGUUGGUGGAACUGCGAGUGUAGAGGUGAAAUUCGUAGAUAUUCGCAAGAACACCAGUGGCGAAGGCGGCCAACUGGUCCAUUACUGACGCUGAGAUGCGAAAGCGUGGGGAGCAAACAGG
rnacentral:rRNA from 1 species